AGAGUUUGAUCCUGGCUCAGGAUGAACGCUGGCGGCGUGCCUAACACAUGCAAGUCGAACGAAGCACCUUACCGGAUUCUUCGGAUGAAAGUUUGGUGACUGAGUGGCGGACGGGUGAGUAACGCGUGGGUAACCUGCCCUGUACAGGGGGAUAACAGCUGGAAACGGCUGCUAAUACCGCAUAAGCGCACGAGGAGACAUCUCCUAGUGUGAAAAACUCCGGUGGUACAGGAUGGGCCCGCGUCUGAUUAGCUGGUUGGCAGGGUAACGGCCUACCAAGGCAACGAUCAGUAGCCGGUCUGAGAGGAUGAACGGCCACAUUGGAACUGAGACACGGUCCAAACUCCUACGGGAGGCAGCAGUGGGGAAUAUUGCACAAUGGGGGAAACCCUGAUGCAGCAACGCCGCGUGAGUGAAGAAGUAUUUCGGUAUGUAAAGCUCUAUCAGCAGGGAAGAUAAUGACGGUACCUGACUAAGAAGCUCCGGCUAAAUACGUGCCAGCAGCCGCGGU
rnacentral:rRNA from 1 species